GAUUUGUAGAUGUAGAAAUGAUGUUACUUUAUUCUUGAGAAACUAACGAAUAAAUUUUUUUGAUUGAGCGCAAAGACUCCAUCAAUAACAAUUGUUUCUUUACCAUAAAAAUGGUUAUUUAAACUAGUUAAAAAUUGUAUGGCUUGAUCCUCAAGUAUAUAAUUCCUUGUUGAGAAAAUUGCUUAACAUAUACAUGGAUAAGGAC
rnacentral:lncRNA from 1 species